rnacentral:rRNA from 1 species
GGUUGCGAUCAUACCAGCACUAAUGCACCGGAUCCCAUUAGAACUCCGCAGUUAAGCGUGCUUGGGCGAGAGUAGUACUAGGAUGGGUGACCCCCUGGGAAGUCCUCGUGUUGCAACCCC